rnacentral:rRNA from 1 species
GCAAGUCGAACGGUAGAGAUCCUUCGGGAUCUUGAGAGUGGCGAACGGGUGAGUAACACGUAGAUGAUCUGCCUUAAAGUUGGGGAUAGCCCAUAGAAAUAUGGGGUAAUACCGAAUACUACCUUAGUUUUUUGAGACUUUGGUGAAAGGGGCUUCGGCCUCGCUUUUAGAUGAGUCUGCGGCUUAUUAGCUAGUUGGUAGGGUAAGAGCCUACCAAGGCGACGAUAAGUAGCCGGCCUGAGAGGGUGACC